GUGUCAGCAGCCGCGGUAAGACAGAGGGUGCAAACGUUGUUCGGAAUUACUGGGCGUAAAGCGCGUGUAGGCGGUCGGGUAAGUCGGAUGUGAAAGCCCCGGGCUCAACCCGGGAAGUGCAUUCGAUACUACUUGGCUAGAGUACUGGAGAGGAUGGUGGAACUCUCGGUGUAGAGGUGAAAUUCGUAGAUAUCGAGAAGAACACCGGCGGCGAAGGCGGCCAUCUGGACAGAUACUGACGCUGAGACGCGAAAGCGUGGGGAGCAAACAGGAUUAGAUACCCCAGUAGUCC
rnacentral:rRNA from 1 species